GCCCCCGAAUAAGGGGGCGCAAGCCCAGGCACAAGACGGCGGCGUCGGGGGGACUGGGUGCAAAGCACCCAACAUGAACCCCGCCCUCCGGCCAUGGGCACA
rnacentral:snoRNA from 1 species